GGGCCCGCACAAGCGGUGGAGCAUGUGGUUUAAUUCGAUGAUACGCGAGGAACCUUACCAGGACUUAAAUGUAAGUUGCAUGAUUCAGAAAUGAAUCUUUCUUCGGACUACUUACAAGGUGCUGCAUGGUUGUCGUCAGCUCGUGCCGUGAGGUGUCAGGUUAAGUCCUAUAACGAGCGCAACCCCUAUCGUUAGUUGCCAUCAAGUUAAGUUGGGCACUCUAGCGAGACUGCCAGUGCAAACUGUGAGGAAGGUGGGGAUGACGUCAAAUCAUCACGGCCCUUACGUCCUGGGCUACACACGUGCUACAAUGGUCGGUACAGAAAGCAGCCACUAUGCGAAUAGGAGCGAAUCUAUAAAACCGGUCUCAGUUCGGAUCGCAGUCUGCAACUCGACUGCGUGAAGCUGGAAUCGCUAGUAA
rnacentral:rRNA from 1 species